CAUGUUAAAGGGAAACAAGAAGAUGAACAGACCAGGCCUGGCUGUGCAGCGAUCAUUCUUCUGAGAAGCCUGUGUGAGGAGAUGCUGGUCUGGGAGUCAAUCUGAGGAAAAGCAGAAGAUAUUUGCUUUAUAUCCGAAGUAUUAUUCAAGGGAGUUCACUCCAGAAGACAAGAGAACUGUUGGUACAUGAUGAAUAUAAAGCUCUAAGACUUGGUGCUGAAAGAUACUUCUCUCAGAAGUGUGCAUUUAUUGUUUGAUACCUUUGGUGAUACGUGCUGCUUCACCUACCAUCUCUCUGUAAGUGUGGUCUCACUUUCACUGUUAUUGCAACAUGUGUCAAGUGAAAUGAAAACAGAAAUUUGGGAAAGGAUAUAAUUAACCUACCUGUGAACAUUACCCUUAAAUAUUGUGCUAAUUACCUCAAUAAUUUAAAUCACUGCAGAUCUCAAACUUAUUUGUUAAAUAUUUAAUUCUGCAAAUUGUUUCUGAUACAGAGGUGUGGGUAGCUUUCUGUGAAUAUAACCUUCUAUAUAAAACUCCUUACAAAACCAUUGUAUAUUUGCACUUCAGCAGAAAAAUCCACUGUCAACAAGACUUUUAAUGGCAAUCACAGAAAACGUGCCCUGGGGCUAAGAGAUAUAGUGCCCUGCUACUCGUAAAUCUAAUGAACGUGUUGUGUGCUGAGUAGGCCACAGUAAAUUUCUGUCUGCACAUCUUCAGGUUUGAUUCCAUGGUAGUCUAGACUGGAAAGUUUCUUCUGCCUUGUUUCUUUGGCUGUGGUGCAGUUGUGUGGUUGUUUCUUAUCUAUUCACCUGAUUACUUAAGUCACUGACCACAUCAUGUCCUCGAUCUUCAUCCCUUCUCAUCAAGUGAAUAUUUUGUGCUGCUUCUAGGCCAUGGGGACACUCUCAGCCACUGCUGCUGGGGAGCCAGGCCAUGGGAGCUGGGCAAACUGCCAGACGGGAGGAUGGCUGGCAGAGAGGGCGCAGGAGGUGGGGGGCAGGCCCUUACAACCCUGGCACCCCAGUCUUUCAUCCCAUGGAAAAAACAAGUCUCUCUUCCUUCAUCUUUCCCCAGGGGCAUCAGCCAGCCCUGUGUUUCAGGCUGUACCGGAUGGCAGUACUUCUUUGUUUUUGUAAUGUAUGUCUCCUUUACUGAGAAAGAAGAUGGAAGAUUGGCUUUGACAUUGUGUUGCUGCACUGUAAAUUUUACUAUUAGAGUAAAGUGCAAAGGUACCCUAAAUCCAUGUGAUGGCUCACACCAGACCUCUGUCAGGAGCUCUUUGAUUAGCCCAGUGCACAACACUAUCUGUUACACACGGAUACCGGCAAUAUUACAAGGUGGACUCCAGGGAUAAGAGACAGCCAACCCCGCACACCUCCCACGCCUGAGUCAUACCCGGGGUAACGCCAGGUCCUGCUCAUACCUGCUGUCGGCAGAAAUGAAACCGUACGAGCCGUUGUGUUUCAGAGCCUUUUUUAAUUGAUUCUCCAGAAUGCUUGAUCUUACCUGCUGAUAUCCCUGUGUUAUUAUUCAGAGGCACAGUCUAUCUGCAUAGCAAUGGACAAAAUGCCUGUGAAAAUAUUGCUAUUCAUUCAGUCGAUGUCGGAACUGGAGUAGGCACUAGCUACACUCUGCAAUGCUUGUCCUGGAAUAUCAAUAAAUAAAUCAUAAAAGCCA
ensembl:lncRNA